GCUCCAAAGAGCCAUGGUAUGCAUGGUUUUGCCUCUCCGUUCAAGCCACACAAGAACCCUGCGAGGUAGGAAACGGUAAAGGACCCCUAGAUGGGUAAGUCCAGUCAAAUUUGACUAUGGGAUGCGGCGCUCAUCUCUGUUUUCAGGCUGAGGGAGCCAGCGUUGGUCCACAGACAGCUUUUCCAGAUCAUGUGGCCAGCAGGACUAAACCGCUUCUGGCGCACGAAGGACAGUGACGAGUGUCAGAGUGCACACAAAUGCUGUUUACCUUCCUGCCACUGAGAUACCUAUUUAUCUACUUGCACUGGCGUGCUUUCGAACCACUAGGUUGGCAGGAGCUGGGACUGAGCAACGGGAUUCAAACUGCCGACCUUCUGAUCGGCAAGCCCAAGUGGCUCAGUGGUUUAGACCACAGCGCCAUCUAUGUCCCACUGCCUCUGAGGUAGGCUAGGCUGGGAGGUAAUGACUGAUCCUAGAUCAUGCUGUGCUUGUUUAGGGUGGAGGGGGGAUUUGAAUUCAGGUCUACUCAGACCUAGUAUGGGAUGCUAACUGCUUCACCUCCUUGUCUCUAAAACAAAAAUAAGUGGUAGUGAGGGCAAAGAAUGCAAAAAUUAAAAAAUUUAAAUGGUGCAAAGUACAUCAUGGGAUAUACUCAGCGAUACAAAAUAAUUAAGAACAGGAGGGAUUUUAAAAAAAUAUAUAUGAAAAUACACACAAAACAAAAUUGUCAGGUAAUAUCCAACUGUUUUCAUCUGCCAAGAGAAUGGACUGGAUUCCCCUUCCUUUCUGCAGUCCUUCUGUGCCAUCCAAAUCAGAUCCUAGUUUGGGGACAAGGUGGGGAAAAGGAGAUAGUGGGGAAGCUCCAUUGCAGAAGUGGAUGUCAAUUUGCACAAUGUUGUAAAUGGCACAUGAAUGCUUAGAAACUGUUUUUUUUUUUUAAUGCAUUUUUACUUUUACUAUAAAAGGUGAAUUUAUCACACCACAGUGACCAUUAAGUGCAGCGGUGAUGAGGUGGACCACAAACCGGUACAAGGGCGCAGGGUCUCAAGGCAACACACUGGCAGUGAAGAAUAAUGAUAAACAUUUCCAUCAUCGCCCCCAGGCCCCAGCCCCAGCCAAUCUGCCGUUUGUUCCCAGGAACACUGGGAGUGAGAGCGAAUGCUCUGCUGAGUGAACACCGUCGGAGAAGUUCUGCAGGCAUUCCCCCGUUCUGUACUCUGGAGGUCAGCAAGUUUGAGGUAUUACAGCCACUAAGUGAAAAUGAAAACUUCAAGAGGCUUGCUGUCUAUCACCGCCAUCACUAAAUCUUUUUUCAACAAUCCUGGGCAGUGAAUUAUGGAAGCAUGGAAUUGACUUACACUUCAUUUCGAGCUGUAGUCAGUUACUCUGUCAAACACAACAGCGUUCAGAAAAGGCCUAUAAAAAUAUAUGACAAACGAAA